UACGUAGGGUGCGAGCGUUGUCCGGAAUUAUUGGGCGUAAAGGGCUCGUAGGCGGUUUGUCGCGUCUGCCGUGAAAGUCCGGGGCUCAACUCCGGAUCUGCGGUGGGUACGGGCAGACUAGAGUGAUGUAGGGGAGACUGGAAUUCCUGGUGUAGCGGUGAAAUGCGCAGAUAUCAGGAAGAACACCCGUGGCGAAGGCGGCUCUCUGGGACGGUACUGACGCUGAGACGCGAAAGCGUGGGGAGCGAACAGG
rnacentral:rRNA from 1 species